AUGGUUUUAUCUCUGUUUCCUCCCCUCCCUGCAUCAGAUGUGUAAUUAUCAGAAUACUCGAAGUGUAAAUUAUCAAGAAAAAAAGCUGCUAUGACAGGCAUAACUCUGCCCUCAGUGAGGUCAACCUUUGGAGCUGGGAGGCCCAGAGGAAGGACUCUGCCACCAUCCCAUCUCCCAACCACCAUCCCAUCACUGGCCUGUCCAGUGGCAGAGGAAGGAGAGAUGUAGUUAGGCAGGCAGGGACAGGGUGACCUUGUGAGGUCCCCUUCGUCCUGCUCUGCUCUACCACCUCUCAUUUUUGUCCAGGCACUCACUGUAGACAUCUCUGAAAGCUGUAAUCUGCAAAGCCCUGGGGGGCUCCACACUGUGCUGGCUGCUAUUAUCCCCGAGACAAAGAGGGACAGGCAGGCAGAUUACCUUGGCCUUUAUUUUUUCAGCUGUGAGCAAAGAAAAGCCUUAAAUGAGCUUGCUGUGGGGAGGGAUUGACUGGGCAGAGCCCCAAACACCCUGUGCUCCUUCCCUUCCCCAGGAGCCACGGGACCCCAUUCCUCACCCCUUGUGCUGCCCCGUCAUUCCCUGCUCUGGUGCAAAGCCCCAAGGAGAGACGAUGUUUUGCCUCCGGACUGGGUCUUCACUGGAGCCUCUCUGCAGCACCCUCACCUUCUCAGGGCACGUAGCACCUGGGGCUGGAGUGGCCCAGGCGACCUGAUGCUCGUACCCACCUUGUACCCAUCACCUCUGUGCCUGGCAGUUGCAUUUCCAGGCUGGAGUGGUGAUGGGUUUGCAUGGCCCCAUCCCGCAUGUCCCAGGGGCUCCUCUACAUGCCUGGGACUGCAUCCCCGUCCAGACUGGCCCCAUGCCGAGACGGCACCGCCACAGCGAGGGGCAGGUCCCCUCCAUAUGGUGCCCCUGGCCGGCUCCCAGCACCAGGGCAGGUGCUCUUGUCUGGGCUACACAAAACCCUAUUGUCGGCACCCGCAGGGUUUCCCUCCCUCGGCACGGACCCGCUCCAGCCCCCACCGCCCUCCUUGCUCCAGCACCACCGGGAAAACGGCUUAGCCUGGCUGGACAUGGCCGCAUCCUCCUCGGGGUGCAGGAUGCUUUCCGUGCAGCCGGUGUCCCUCCGCGCUCCUCUCCACCUCGAGCCCUCCCGGUGCUGACAGCCACACUGGGUGGGGUUUGUCACCAGGCCGCUAAAGCGCUGAUGGUUUUAUGCCCGGCACUUAAUUAUUUCCCCGAUUGCCACCGCCAUGUGCUGGCGAGUGGCGCUGGCUGUGACCCCGCCGAGCCUGACGCCGCCGCUGCAGCCCGGGGAGCUGAUGGCAGAAGCACGCCCCACGUGGAGUUUAAUUAUUGGCUUUCUUCCUUAACAGAGUACAUUGGCUGACCUUAAUGCAAUUAAUUAGGGCUUAAUCAACUUCUGGUGGCUCAGCACAGCACACAGUGAUUCCUGACUUUCCAGGAGGGUUUAUAAGAGGUUAAAGCAGCUAAGGGGAGGGUGUGGUGUGUAGUUUGUAGGUUUGGUGGCAUUGUGCUGGUGGGUAAAGCUCAGUUAGUCAAGCAUUGUGGUAAGAUUUAUAUUCUCCCUGGCUGGGCUUGAUGCUGGUAAAGGCAGGUGAAGUGAACUGGACUCAAGAGCUGUGCCUGAGGUGAUGCCUCUGCACAAAAUUGCUUGUGUUGCUUGUUUUUGGCAGUCUCCCUGAGCUUAGGAUUUCCACAGGGCUUUUCCUGUAGCUUUGCUGGGCCAGGGUUUUCCCACUUUUUGGGUGCUCUCUGCUAGUGAUGAGUUGUGUCUGGGUUGUGCAUCCAGCAGCUGCUGGGCUCUGAGGGUGCUGGAGGUGAUGUCUGGGGAGCUCCUUCACCCCCUUGAGCAGGCAUUAGAGACAAGAAGUUGUUGAUCACUGACUGUUCCUGAGCAAGAGGGAGGCUCCUUCCUGUCUCUGCCCAGCAGCAUUUAAUAACUAACAGUGCUCAUUAACACCACAGAAAUCCCCAGGCACCCCUGACAUGGGGCCCUGGCUCUGCAUCCUCAUGGUUCCUGCUGAGUGUAAGGAGCGUAAGGACUUAUUUGCACACCUUGUGUCUCCAAUUGCUGGAUUUUACCUCUUUAAGCCAGCAGACACCUGUUGGUGUAGCUGGUGAUGCAGUGCCUCAUCUCUGGGCUGCUGCCUUCACCUGAGCAUGAAGUGACUGAGCCUUGGCCUUGCAGAAAGCCCUAGAGAGGUGGGUGCCCUGUGCCAGUGGUGGCAUCUCCUACUGUCAGCUGUGGUGAUGGUGACCAGAACUGUGGCAUGUCCUGCUGUGUCAUCCUCACAUCCUGGAUGCUUUGCAUCCUCCCUAUGCCAUUGUCCCUAGGCAGUGUCUGUCACCCCCACCCCUGUUUCUUUGGGUCCCCAUGUCUCUGGCUGUCCCCUACCCCAGAGACUGUGCCACCAAGCCCCCUUGUGUGGGCAGCCCGGUACCAGGACUGGGAGGUGGCAGCAGGAGCCUUGCCAGCCACUGUUGCUGGCUUGUUUGCUUCAGUGCCAAUUCAUUAAUAUCAAAAAGCUAAUUAGGAUUCCACAGCCCUUCCCACUCAGCCCUCUCCUUUGGAGGCUGGAGGAUACUUGUCUGCAGGAUUUCCAUGCAGCCCUGUGUUAAAAGGACUCAGCCCUGGUCUGUCCCAGCCCGGUGGUUUGUGCCCCUCUCUCUGCUCCCAGCUCAUUCACGUGGCUAAAGCCCCUCGAAGCCUGGCAAAUGGGAAGUGAUAUUUGCCAAUAAUCCCUCUGCUCUCCUGGGCAGGCUUCUCAUAUUACAGGUUAUUAAAAAAACAAAACCCAGGCAGCAAUAACUGUGGCCCCAGGGAGAGCCCGAGCACCGAUUGUUCCUGGUCAAACCCCACCCAACAGGAGAGCCCCAAGGCAGAGGCAGCACAGCAAGGCCCAGCUGGAUUCCAUGGAGCAUCUCUAGGCAGAGUAUGGCUCCUGUUGCAAGUAGAAAAGGGACAAGCCUCAACCCUCUUUUCCCCUUGGGAACAAGUGGGAUUCCCAUGAGUCACAGACUAAAUCCAAUUUCUCCCCACAGAGGCUGUGGAAUAAACCCUGCUCUUGCUCACCAGGGCUCCUUGACAUGGUGCCACCACCCCCUGGCCUCAGCAUCUUCCUCACCACUGGGCUGGGCAGGAGCAGCUCCUAUGUUGGCAUCUUGCAGGGACAGGACAGAGCCAGCCUCUGCAGCCAGUUUUUUGCUUUGCGGGGCUUUUGAGACUACUUGCCCAGAACUGGGGAUACUGUUUCCUCUGGGACAGGGCAGCGAUGCUGUUCCAUUCCUCCCCUCGAGUCUUGCUUCCUCGAGGGUGGAUCUGUCCCAUCGGAAAUUCAAUCCACUAAGUAUGUGUAGUUGUAUUUUUCUUUCUGCAAAAAAUACCAAUUUCCUUGCGAGGAGUUUCACCGCAGCUUGAAACAUUUCAUUGCAUGGGUUGGGGGUUUCCUUCUGGUUUUAAGUCAACAUUUCCCCUUAAAAUGUCACUCAGGGAAUGAUGCUUUUUUUUACAGCAAAAGUCUGUGAUGACAUUUUAAGUGGAGAAGAAAAUUGCUGCUUCGUUUCAAAAUGUCAACUUUGAGUGGGGUGGGUUUAGAGUAUUUUUUUUUUAUUCCAGUGUUUCCCAGGAGAAAAGGGAAACGGUUUCAUUAGACUCAAGGAAUUGUUGCUCCCCAUGACCCCCAAAAUAAAUCUUUUUUUUUUUUUUUUUUUAACCUCUUUGCAUUUUUGUAGCAGGGAAACUUUUGCCAAGAGAAGUCGUGCUCCCGUGGGAUGCUGCCUUGGGAAGGGACAACCCUGCCACAGCCAAACUUGAGCUUUCUGUGGCAAAUCCUCUGCCACCAAACUCCAGGAGAGACUCCGUUGCUGCCAGCUGGUUUUGGUUGCCACAGGAGGGAUUAACAGCAGGUUAAAACCAGGUUUUGAAGCUCUCCUCUUCCUGCUUUCCCUCUGCCUUGUGCUCCUGGUUUUCCUUCACACAGCUCUCCUCGAAAAUCACUUCUUCUAGAUUAGGCUAGAGACUGGAGUUAUCUUCCUUUUAUUUAUUAGGGUAAUUAUACCUAAUGAUUCACAUGCUCGGGGAGAGUAAUUGCUCCCAAAUACAGCACCGGCAGUGUUCUUACCCAGCCGGGGUGCAGUGAUUCACAAACACAUCUUUUCGUACCAUUUAUCAAGUGAUGAUCCCGUAAUUGCUGACUUGAUUUGGAGGCAGUUAAGGAGCGAUCGAGGACCAGCACCGUGUCCAUUUCCCUCUGGUGUGGUGGCCAUUGCAUGUGUCUCCUCCCUGCCACGCUGACAGUUGUCACCACUUGCCUCCUGUGUGGGCUUUGCUGGGGAUUUUGUUUGGGUCGAGCCCCUCGAGCUGCUGAGUUUGUGUUUUGUGAAGAGCUGCGGUGCCUGGUCUGGCAAAUUCUGCGGCACAGCCUGGCUGGGGGAGAGCAAGGACUGUCCCUCUCCAGGGUGGGGAGGACCCCUCCAUCCUCCCAAAAUGUGGCAGUGAUGUGGCUUGACCCUCGCCUCUUAAGAGUUCUUGAAGCAGAUGGGUGAGAGCUUGUGCUGCCACAGCGAGGGGACAUCUGGGGACCUUUGCCUUUGCCUCAGGACUCCUGCCCAUUUACUGUGCAGGGUGGGCAGGAACAUCCCAUGAGGAAGGGAUUAUGUGCAGAGUCCACCCUGCUGAGCUGCUCCAGCCCCUGGAGAAACCUGGACACUGGGGAUGGAGGGAGGUUUCUGGGAGUGUUUUGAGGAGUAUUGAUGUUCCCGGUGCUGCCAUGAGGCUUGGAAAGGCAGCCUGAGGCUUGAAAUUCUUAAGGGGAGCCCAGGGUGAUGACUGGAGUGGCUCAGCCCCUCUGGUGCUGCCCAAGACAACACCAUGGUACUUGGCUGGAGGCUGCUGGUCAGCUGUGCUCUCCUGGGCCAUCAAAAAGAGGGUUUUUUUAGUGCUGGGUGGAGAGCACAGAGUGUAUUGCUACUUUACCUUUUUUUUUUUUUUUUUUUUUUUUUAAGCUUCCCUUCUCAGUGUGUCUCUGGGCUGUAUUGCAUGAGCCUGCACCCACCACCCAUCCCCUCCUGCCCCAGGCACUGCUUCAGGUCUCCCAUCCCGUGGAUGCCAGAAUCGCUGCUGGGAUGUGAUCAGAAAGGCAGGAGAAGAGGAGGUGGCACAAACAGCCCUUUCUGCUGGCCACCACUUGGCUUUAUCCCCAGCACUGCUUGGGUGGGCUCCUGAGGGAGCCUGCCCUGGUUGUCCCCCACCCCCAAAAUGUGGGGCUGUGCCAGUGCCUCUCAGUAGGCGUUCACUGGAGUAAUAGCUCCCUGGUUUCAUUCCACCCACAUCCACCUCCUUAGUAGAGUAUCUGCGCUCAUUCUCGCUGGUGCCUGGCCCCCUGUCAAGAGCUCCUGCAGGCAGCCAGGAGCUGCUCCUAAUGGGCUGCCAGGGGAUUUGGACUCUGACAGCUGGGUGCUGACAGCUCCCUGCCACUGCUCACUUCACCUGCUGGGCUCUCCUCUCCACAGUCAGAUGGAGAAGGAUGCUCCAACCUCCCUAAGGAGGAGGCUGGCUCCUCUUUCUCCCAUUGCCUUGGUAGGGAUGAUGGUGCAAGCAGAGGGUCCCCAGGAUGGAGGAACCCCUGCAGGGUGAUGUUCCAGGAUGGGGACUGGGAGAGGGGAGGAGGUCUGGAUGUACCACAGGGUACAUGACAAGUCUUGUCACAGCUCCCAGCAGGGAGUUGGGGCAGGGGACCAUUGCUAGCUGGAAGAAAGUGCUGACACCUCCUGGGGCUGCUUUUCCAGCAGCUCUGGGGCCUCCCAUGCUUUCCCCUGGCUGACACAUUGCCUCUCUUCUCUGUUUGAUGCAGGGCUCCUCUGUCUCCCCACAGACCCUGUGUAGGGGCUGGUGGGUGCUCCUGGGGGCUCCCGAGGGCCCAGCUCCAUUCCAGCGGGGGCCGUGGCAGCUACUCCAGAGGGACUGUCCCAUUGCCCCACCAGCAUGGAGCAACUCUCAGCCUGCUGUCUUGUAUGGCUUUUUAUUCCUAUGUGAUUAUACAUCCCACUUCAUAUAGGGAUUGAAGCCGUGCAAUACGCCGGGGUCCUACGGCGGAGAGCAGCUCCUGUGCCCCGGGAGCCAGCCUCGGAGAAGCCUCCAGAGCUGUCCCUUGGGGUGCUGGAGGAAGACUGCUGGCCUCAGCCUGGACUCUGUCCUGCAUGCCAGGCUACCCAGCCCUCUGGGGCUGCAGGCAGAAGCACCCUGGAGCCAGGAUGGCAUGGAGGCUGCUUCCAGCACACCCUGCACACUGGGAUCACUGGGUGUGACCACGGCUGCACUUUGGGUUCCUUCACUUGCCCGGGUUCACUCCCACAAUGCCAAUAUCCCAUCCAGGCCAGCGUGGGCAAGCUGCAAAGCCCUGCUCCGCUGUGGUGACUCACUCAAGCUCCCAAUGGGAAAGUCAUCGUUCCUGGCAGACCCUGACAGCCCAGAGGCAAAUCGUUACUAGGCAGGCAGUUGGAAAACAACGCUAUGAAAGCUCAUAGCAUACAUGCUGCUGGCACGGAGGCUCUCCCAACAGGGAUCAGAAGGGAAGAUGUUCCUGUGGAGGAAGGAGGCUGGAAGAGCCACUGCACUUCGUUCAUCCCCUUCCUUAUGCUGUGCAGUGAAGAGGGAGCUCUCAUGAUCUCUCCAUGGCUCUAAUUAAAAUGGCCUGGAUGUCCAUGACAUUGGUGCCGGUCAAGCCUGUCACCAGGAGGUGAUGCCCACCUUGGAACUGGCUGAAGAAGGUGUAGGAGUCAUUGUUCCUGAGAAAGGCC